AAACUAAUUUAGCUUGGCGGCAUCUCAUCUAAUUAGAGGAAUUUGUCCUUUAAUCGAUAAUCCACGUUAAAUUUCACUUUUAUCUAAAAUUUAUAUACCUCCAUCUCAAGAAUCAAUUUCGCAAUAUCUCUCCAAAUAACUAAUAAAAAGUUAGGUCAAGGUGUAAUCCAUAUAAAAGAAUAAGAUGAAUUACAUUAAAAAUAAUUUAAAGAUUAUUAAUAAUUUAUUAAUAUAAAUACGGAUUUAAAAGUAUUAUUUAAAUAAUAAUUCCAUAUGAUAAAGAUAAUAAAUGUGUACACAUCGCCC
rnacentral:rRNA from 1 species